rnacentral:snRNA from 7 species
AGCUUUGUGUAGUAGCCAUAUUGUAGCCAGUGAGGUUUAUCUGAGGCAAAAUUAUUGCUAAUUGAAAUUCUUCCCAAUACAUUGCCGCAACAACUUGCAAUACAGUCGGCAUUGACAAUUGUUGGCAGGAUGUAUGGAGACUAAAUAACUCGUU